rnacentral:rRNA from 1 species
AGCAGCCGCGGUAAUUCCAGCUCCAAUAGCGUAUAUUAAAGUUGUUGCAGUUAAAAAGCUCGUAGUUGAAUUUCGGGGUUAGUAGAUUGGUCAUGCCUCCGGUAUGUACUGGUCUCACUGAUUCCUCCUUCCUGAUGAUCCGUAAUGCCAUUAAUUUGGUGUUGCGGGGAAUUUGGACUGUUACUUUGAAAAAAUUAGAGUGUUUAAAGCAAGCUAACGCUUGAAUACAUUAGCAUGGAAUAAUGAAAUAGGACGUUCGAUCCUAUUUUGUUGGUUUCUAGGAUUGACGUAAUGAUUAAUAGGGAUAGUUGGGGGCAUUAGUAUUCAAUUGUCAGAGGUGAAAUUCUUGGAUUUAUUGAAGACUAACUACUGCGAAAGCAUUUGCCAAGGAUGUUUUCAUUAAUCAAGAACGAAAGUUAGGGGAUCGAAGACGAUCAGAUACCGUCGUAGUCUUAACCAUAAACUAUGCCGACUAGGGAUCGGAUGAUGUUAAUUUUUUAAUGACUCA